CCGACCUGAGAGGGUGAUCGGCCACACUGGGACUGAGACACGGCCCAGACUCUUACGGGAGGCAGCAAGUAGGGAAUCUUCCGCAAUGGACGAAAGUCUGACGGAGCAACGCCGCGUGAACGAUUAAGGCUUUCGGGUCGUAAAGUUCUGUUGUUAGGGAAGAACAAGUACCAGAGUAACUGCUGGUACCUUGACGGUACCUAACCAGAAAGCCACGGCUAACUACGUGCCAGCAGCCGCGGUAAUACGUAGGUGGCAAGCGUUAUCCGGAAUUAUUGGGCGUAAAGCGCUCGCAGGCGGUCUUUUAAGUCUGAUGUGAAAGCCCACGGCUCAACCGUGGAGGGUCAUUGGAAACUGGGAGACUUGAGUGCAGAAGAGGAGAGUGGAAUUCCACGUGUAGCGGUGAAAUGCGUAGAGAUGUGGAGGAACACCAGUGGCGAAGGCGACUCUCUGGUCUGUAACUGACGCUGAGGAGCGAAAGCGUGGGGAGCGAACAGGAUUAGAUACCCUGGUAGUCCACGCCGUAAACGAUGAGUGCUAAGUGUUAGAGGGUUUCCGCCCUUUAGUGCUGCAGCUAACGCAUUAAGCACUCCGCCUGGGGAGUACGGUCGCAAGACUGAAACUCAAAGGAAUUGACGGGGGCCCGCACAAGCGGUGGAGCAUGUGGUUUAAUUCGAAGCAACGCGAAGAACCUUACCAGGUCUUGACAUCCUUAUGCCAACCCUAGAGAUAGGGCUUUAAAGGGGGGGACAUAAGUGA
rnacentral:rRNA from 1 species